UACGAAGGGGGCUAGCGUUGCUCGGAAUCACUGGGCGUAAAAGCGCACGUAGGCGGAUCUUUUAAGUCAGGGGUGAAAUCCUGGAGCUCAACUCCAGAACUGCCUUUGAUACUGGGGAUCUCGAGUCCGGGGAGAGGUGAGUGGGAACUGCGAGUGUAGAGGUGAAAUUCGUAGAUAUUCGCAAGAACACCAGUGGCGAAGGCGGCUCACUGGCCCGGUACUGACGCUGAGGUGCGGAAAGCGUGGGGGAGCAAACAGGG
rnacentral:rRNA from 1 species